rnacentral:tRNA from 1 species
UUUCCUAUGGUGCAACGGUAGCACGUCUGAUUUUGAUUCAGAAGAUCGUGGUUCGAACCCAAGGAAAA